UUAAAAUAUUUAUAAAAUAAUAAUUUAAUUUUACAAUGAAAAUGUAAGGUUUUGUUUAAACUAUAUAAAUAGAAAU
rnacentral:tRNA from 1 species